rnacentral:lncRNA from 7 species
AGGCAAUUGAACUAAUGUUCAAAACAAGGCUUAACAGAAACAUCUACAGUAAACAUAGCUAAUGUGCAGCUGAGGGAGAUCACAGAUCAGUGUACCCUGUAUUUCUAUUGGCACUUUUUGGAAAUGCAAGCUUUUACGUUCUUCUUACGACAGGAAAAUCGAGACGAUUAGUUGUUAAUAAUCUGUUUCCUGAAAAGCCCUCAAAUACACAAACAAUAACCCGGACAUGGUUGGAGCAGCUGGAAGCAUUCGUACCGGGGUGUAACCCAAAUCAUCUCUGCACAGAAACCCAUUGCGCAUCUCUCUGCAAACCCAAUUUAUUUUUCUCUGAUAGUUCAGUCAGUAGUAAGCAUGAGAUAAAGUGCUACCAUUCAAACAUCAAAACACUUUGAGAAAAAUCAUCCUUUAAAACACGUGAGCUUGCUAAAUAUGAAAUACCACCACCAGCAAACUGUCAGCCAGCCCCUAAAACCAAACUUCAUCUUACAGAAUACAGGAAUGAUGGAUAUUUUAGUCCAUUUUUUAGGUGAGAUGGUUUAGAGAAAACAAAGAGGAUGUAUUUUUUGCCCCAGUGAGCAGCGGGAGCUUGCAGGUUAUGCACUGCUUCCAUCUGUAGCUGGAGAAGCCCAACAAACUGCAGAUGCACACUGGUGGCAGCAGCUAGCACAGAGCUGAAAUGCAGCGGUGAUGGAGAUAAAUGAGAUUGGACAAAACAUUACACUAAAACAAACCGACUCCUUUCUCCUUGUAACAGCUUCCCAAUCACCAACUAAGUACAAACUGCAAUUUCAUGCAAGAUCUACGUUUCAUCAGUGAACAUCUUUUUCUCAGAUUUUGAUAUUAGACCCCAGCACUGACAGUAGCAAUGGAAGAUAAAAGGUGGGUUCUAAAAUACACCUAGCCUGCUGGGGACCUGCACAGUACAAAACGACUGAAUGCCAUAAGAAGGCACCAUUCCUGUCCUGUGUGAAAAUCCUAAUAAGCAGAUCUUGAAUUUGGACAAUACUCCAAUUCUUUCCUUUAUCCUCAGGGCCCUUCAGAUUGCCUGCAGUAACAGCUCUACAGUCACAGCUACACCGUAAGUAUUGGACAACCUGGUAUCUGUAUUUUUCACACUCAUACUAAUGCCCUGAGCCACCAACCAUCGCCCACACACCUACACAAGCAUAAAGAUAUCACGUAGUUCAGCUCCACGGCACAACUGGAGGUCUGGCAUCACUAUGCAGGACCUUCUCUACUUCCCAUCUCCCCGGGCAGUACUGCUGGGUCUUGGCCUCCGUGGGUACCACACAGCUUUCCAGAAGCUCUCCAAGGAAGGCUGCCAGGUUCCACAACAAACUCCUCACGUACUUUCAUAUCCCAACUGCUUUCUCACCUCCUCUCUCUCGGAUGGUGCACCAGGCCACAAUCAGCUAUUCUAGAUGAAGCGCUGUUGUUUUACCUACAUGAGAUGUAAGCUUCCAACAUUUAACAGAGAAACGCAGAAGAACCUUCAGUUAGCAUUAAAUGUGGUGCAAUAAAAUCAAACUGUUAUUCAGAAGUAGGAGGGAAUAUCUCAAAGCAGCGGCUUGCUGCUUCAGACACGCACAGUGUUUAAAUCACCAAAUGCUUCAAAUUCAGGAUAAAUGAAGUUUUCAGCUCUCUGGUGUAUGUAAAGCAGCAUUUCUCAGAAGGGAUUGGCUGACAAUGUGUCGGUGAUUUACCUGCAUCUUAUUUCAUAUUUAGCAGAAGUUAAAAAUGCCCCCCAAAACACGCAAAGCCUUCUCAAGAACCUCAUAUUUUUCUGCUGACAGAAAAACCUUCACGUCCACUUUAAACAAGAGAUGGUAGUGGUAGUUUUGAAUUUGAACUGAAAAGGAAAAAGUCUCGAUGUUAUACAUUGGCAAAACUUCAUUAUUUCUUUUUUAAGCUGGAUCUGUAUCAUGGAAGCAUUACAAACAUACUCUUUCUCCACCCACCCAGUAUUUUUCCUAAUCAAAUGGUAUGAAAAUAAUUGUCCGUCAAAUCCAACAGUCGUAACACCAAUCACAUCCAGUUCAUUUCAUCCCAAAGAUACAUUCAUGUUUUGUACAGCAUGAAACAUACAAAAACUUCUUCAGAAAGUCUGAACGAUG